rnacentral:lncRNA from 1 species
CAUUCUGGGAUGGCAGCUGGCAACAAAGAGAUGAUCCCCAGAUAGUCCCUCGACUGCCUAAGAUGGAAUUAGAAGCUUAUAAACAGUAUCUUUCUACAGAUCAGAAAUCAAAUGACAGUGUGACUGGCAAUGGAAAAGAUUCCAUUUUCAGAAUUUGGCUGUUACAGACCUCCUCUGAUAAACUGCAAAACUCAAGGUCACUGCCAGCCUGCUGGAGACCUGCCGCUGCUGCUGCUGUGUGGGGUCACCAGCGGUGGGUACCACUGCCCUGAUGCUGCCGUUCACCAAAAGAAUCGGGGCCACAUU